CACUCCUACGGGAGGCAGCAGUGGGGAAUUUUGGACAAUGGGCGAAAGCCUGAUCCAGCAAUGCCGCGUGUGUGAAGAAGGCCUUCGGGUUGUAAAGCACUUUUGUCCGGAAAGAAAUCCUUGGCUCUAAUACAGUCGGGGGAUGACGGUACCGGAAGAAUAAGCACCGGCUAACUACGUGCCAGCAGCCGCGGUAAUACGUAGGGUGCGAGCGUUAAUCGGAAUUACUGGGCGUAAAGCGUGCGCAGGCGGUUUGCUAAGACCGAUGUGAAAUCCCCGGGCUCAACCUGGGAACUGCAUUGGUGACUGGCAGGCUAGAGUAUGGCAGAGGGGGGUAGAAUUCCACGUGUAGCAGUGAAAUGCGUAGAGAUGUGGAGGAAUACCGAUGGCGAAGGCAGCCCCCUGGGCCAAUACUGACGCUCAUGCACGAAAGCGUGGGGAGCAAACAGGAUUAGAUACCCUAGUAGUCCCA
rnacentral:rRNA from 1 species